rnacentral:lncRNA from 1 species
GGAGAGAUGAAAUGAAUAGGGGGAGAUGAAAUGAAAGAGAACCCAAAUUGAUCAGGGGAUGCAUCUCACUUGAUCAAUACCAUUCAUUCAUCUUGAGGGAUGAAGUUUAACUUCAUCAACCCUCUAAAUCCAAUGGUAUUUACCAAGUCAUGGUCCAAUUUAACUAAGAUCAAGGCCAAACAGAAGUUAGGUCAACACAAAGUCAACACAAAAACUCAACAAAGCAAUA